AAAACCGAAAGUGAUAACCACUACACUAU
rnacentral:tRNA from 1 species